AUUCUACCCAUGCGGGGAAGGAUGAGAAGCUUCGACCAAGGUUCGAUUCGAGCGAAAGCGAGAAAGCGUUGCCAACGGCAACGACCCGAAGGGCGAAGCGCGCAGCGCUGAGUCAUCCUUCCCCCACCACCA
rnacentral:sRNA from 1 species